rnacentral:rRNA from 1 species
GACGAACGCUGGCGGCGUGCCUAAUACAUGCAAGUCGAACGCUUCUUUUCCCACCGGAGCUUGCUCCACCGGGAAAAGAGGAGUGGCGAACGGGUGAGUAACACGUGGGUAACCUGCCCAUCAGAAGGGGAUAACACUUGGAAACAGGUGCUAAUACCGUAUAACAAUCGAAACCGCAUGGUUUCGUUUUGAAAGGCGCUUUACGGUGCCGCUGAUGGAUGGACCCGCGGUGCAUUAGCUAGUUGGUGAGGUAACGGCUCACCAAGGCCACGAUGCAUAGCCGACCUGAGAGGGUGAUCGGCCACAUUGGGACUGAGACACGGCCCAAACUCCUACGGGAGGCAGCAGUAGGGAAUCUUCGGCAAUGGACGAAAGUCUGACCGAGCAACGCCGCGUGAGUGAAGAAGGUUUUCGGAUCGUAAAACUCUGUUGUUAGAGAAGAACAAGGGUGAGAGUAACUAUUCACCCCUUGACGGUAUCUAACCAGAAAGCCACGGCUAACUACGUGCCAGCAGCCGCGGUAAUACGUAGGUGGCAAGCGUUGUCCGGAUUUAUUGGGCGUAAAGCGAGCGCAGGCGGUUUCUUAAGUCUGAUGUGAAAGCCCCCGGCUCAACCGGGGAGGGUCAUUGGAAACUGGGAGACUUGAGUGCAGAAGAGGAGAGUGGAAUUCCAUGUGUAGCGGUGAAAUGCGUAGAUAUAUGGAGGAACACCAGUGGCGAAGGCGGCUCUCUGGUCUGUAACUGACGCUGAGGCUCGAAAGCGUGGGGAGCAAACAGGAUUAGAUACCCUGGUAGUCCACGCCGUAAACGAUGAGUGCUAAGUGUUGGAGGGUUUCCGCCCUUCAGUGCUGCAGCUAACGCAUUAAGCACUCCGCCUGGGGAGUACGACCGCAAGGUUGAAACUCAAAGGAAUUGACGGGGGCCCGCACAAGCGGUGGAGCAUGUGGUUUAAUUCGAAGCAACGCGAAGAACCUUACCAGGUCUUGACAUCCUUUGACCACUCUAGAGAUAGAGCUUCCCCUUCGGGGGCAAAGUGACAGGUGGUGCAUGGUUGUCGUCAGCUCGUGUCGUGAGAUGUUGGGUUAAGUCCCGCAACGAGCGCAACCCUUAUUGUUAGUUGCCAUCAUUUAGUUGGGCACUCUAGCAAGACUGCCGGUGACAAACCGGAGGAAGGUGGGGAUGACGUCAAAUCAUCAUGCCCCUUAUGACCUGGGCUACACACGUGCUACAAUGGGAAGUACAACGAGUCGCGAAGUCGCGAGGCUAAGCUAAUCUCUUAAAGCUUCUCUCAGUUCGGAUUGUAGGCUGCAACUCGCCUACAUGAAGCCGGAAUCGCUAGUAAUCGCGGAUCAGCACGCCGCGGUGAAUACGUUCCCGGGCCUUGUACACACCGCCCGUCACACCACGAGAGUUUGUAACACCCGAAGUCGGUGAGGUAACCUUUUGGAGCCAGCCGCCUAAGGUGGGAUAGAUGAUUGGGGUG